UGGGAUUGUAGUUCAAUUGGUCAGAGCACCGCCCUGUCAAGGCGGAAGCUGCGGGUUCGAACCCCGUCAGUCCCGGC
rnacentral:tRNA from 1 species